UCCCUUGGUCGACCAAGGCAGAAAAUGCGCGGAGAAAUAAGGAGAAGAGGAGCUGUGGUAUGAGUUACAAACAAUAGCUCACCACAAGCAAACAUGACCCUUGGGACAGAGUGUGACGGUGUACGAUGCCGCCCAUAAGCAUUGGCCUCGCAUGUUCAUUAUCGUCAGGUCCCUAUGGAAGCAUCGUACGCUGACGUCGUCGAUGCUGUCACCGACGUGGUUGGCACAGACACCGUCCAAUAUCAGGAUGGUUCAUCGUUCCUUUGUGCGCUGUACGCCGCUGCCGCCAACCACAAGCUCCAAGCAGACUACUUUGUAUCACCGUCACACCACUCCAUCGCACUUCAGGGAAAAGAGGACUACUUCCAAGCUCAACACGGUCCAUCAAUGGUCGGGACCUUGCAGUCCAGGACGAACACAAAUUCCUGGGAAUGGUCUUUGACAAAAAACUCACUUUCUUGCAACACAUCAAAGAAUUGAAGACAAAAUGUUUGAAAUCGUUGGCUUUGAUGAAGGUUAUAUCACACAAGACCU